CGUGUAAUUUUUUUAAAAAAAUAAAUAAAAACUAAAAAUUUUAAUUUUAAUUAAGUCCCCCAAUUCUUUUCUAAUUAAAACUCUAACCCUAAAACUAAUAAUCAACUAAAACCUAUCUUCUACCGUCUUCCUCCUUCAUAUCAAAACAAAACCCCCCAUUUCAUGUCUUCCUGCUUCAGACCCAAUUCACUAGAUUUCUCUAUUCAUUCCCUCGAAAGGGUGUUGAUUGGGGAAAGAGAUGGGGUUCUGAGAGCGAGAUGUUGCUGGAAGGUCUGGAUCGCCGGUUUUGGCUGAUAGGAGAGGCGCCAGACAAGGAAGAAGGGGCAGAUAUGAGUGACGUCGGACAAGGACGGAGGCGCGGUUGCUGCAAGAAGGGCGACCAAGGGCGGCGAUGCCAGAGUGAGGAGUGGUAGCGCUAGGGGUUGAGCACGGGGAGGCCACAACCAAGGACUAGUGGCGGCAUUGUGGUUACUUGAGGCGCGUUGGGCUUGCAAAGAAGGCAAACGGUCGGCGGCGGAGUGGGGAGCGGCGUACGGAGGAGCGGUGCACAGGGGUGCGUCGCGGACGGUGGUGGGCAGCGGCUGGAGGAUCUGUGGUUGUGUUGUGAUGUUGAAGUUGUUUGCUGUAUGAACAGUUGCUGUUGGGCCUGUUCGGUUCGUGGGCUGCAUUUGUAGGAUACCUUCUGUCUCUUUCACUUCUUCGCGUGAUCUCCCUCGCCAGCCGUCGUCCCCCAUCUGAGCAUCAUCUACCUUCUAGCCACCAUGCCUGCAACUCUACUCGUGGUCCAUCUUGUCAUCACAUCACAUAUACUAAUCUCGCAGCAAAAAAAACCGAGGUCGAGAACUUUGUCUUGAAGCUAAAAGCACGUGUUUGAGAUUUUCCAGCAAAUCCAAGCCUAACCAUGCCAAAACCCAUAGCCACUUGAUUCGAUUGAACAAACAGUUACUGAUGCAAUGCUAUAGCUCGUGAAUUUUGGCCAGCUGUUGUGUGGUUGUUUUUUGAUUCCUGAACCCUACAAGGGAUGCUACGGUCUAUGUUUGUGAAGGGUUGUCCGGCAUAGGAAGUGUUUCCAACCAUCCAAAUGAUGUCACCUGAAUUUUGGCCAGCUGUCAUCCAAUUGAAGCUUACUCAUCUACAGCUGGUGUGAUUUGUAGUUUGAUUUGAGUUUCCUGCAUUUCCAACUCCUCAUUCAUCAGUAUAAAUGCACCCAACAGGGUCACAAAAUUGAGGCAAUUGCUCCGAAGGGAACUAUGUCCAAAUUCAAGUCUGAGCUUCAUGAGGGCAAGGUUUACAGAAUUUCAUCCUUUGCAGUUGUGGCCAAUAGUGGCAAUUUUAUGGCAUCUGAACACGAGUGUAAGAUUCUUUUCAAUGAAAGAACGUAGGAGAUAUUGGAACUAGCCUCCUCGAUACCAAUGAAUGUCUUUACGUUCAAGAACACUGCUGAGAUUUUUUCAACUGGAGGUGAAUCAGACUAUCUUAUUGGCAAUUUCAGUUUAUCUGAGAGGUUAGUGGCAAAGUAUGGUGGGGCUGCAGCUAUGUAUUUUGUGUCAAAGAAAUUGAAGAAGAAACACAAUAUCACCGAUGAGCGUGUUGCAUUGUAUGGAGCUGCAGAACAGUGGAUUGAUGCUUUGAAGGGCCGAAAAUUUCUUGGUAUAAUUCCUGGAAGCAGCUAUGAGAAAAACCAAUCAUGAGCAAUGAAGAUUAUGCUAAUUUAAAACAGAGGCUAAAGGUACUUAAUUUGCCUAUUUGAAUGAGGGUGGAUUUGAAUAAAGGGUCCGCUUUGUGUGUUUUGUAAUGUGUUGAUGUUUGAUCAUCAGUUCCCUAAAUCAGUUUUGUAGAUUUGAAAUUGAACAAUCUGUUUGGUUUUUUUGUGCUCGGAAUGAUAAAUUUUACAUAAAUAAAGUGGGGGGAUCUGAGAUGGAUUGAGACUUAGAACUUUGAUGUAUACAAAAUUUUGAUUAUUUAUUUAUUGCAGUUCUGAAUUGGCUUAACACAUUACCCUGUGACAUGAUGUUUCUUUGAAGAGUUCUCUUAACUUUCUAAUGCAAAUAAAUAUUCACGGUACUUUUCUAGAAUCAGCAUCUGUAUCCCAGAUUUCCAGUAAUUGUAGACCUGUGUUCUACAUAGAGUUUAUGAUGUGGUUAAUGAAAGUAUUAAUUUUUUCCAUUUGAUUACUCAAUCAAAAUGUUUUAGAAAAUAUGACUGAGAGAAUGUUUAUAAUUCCAAAGGUGUGAAGUUCUCCAUAUCUUUUUCUAUUAAUCAUAUUCCCUUUUAGUUAUAUUUAAAGACGUGGUAGUUUCAUUUUUAUUUUGAUCUUAUUCCAGAAACCCAGUUGAGAAAGUGACUUUGAAUCUGCUAGAGACAAGCAACAAUAGCAGCAGUGGCUAUUUUCAUGAAUCCUUGGCCUUUUGGCAUUUGUGAACAUCUUUUAAACUUCACUUCUCAUAAUUGAUUUGUGUAUAUCUAUUUUGUCUCACAAAAUUUCUAAUUUUUUCAAGCCCGUACUUUUCUCAAAAUAAG